CCAACUACAAAAGCAGCUGUUUCAGACCAAAAAAGUUUGUUGCAGUUUGCUCCCAGCUGACACUAUUGUGCCGCGCAACAGCCUCCAGAAUAUCUGCCAUGGGACGAGACCUUUUGGCUGCAGGAGUCUGUCGCUGUUCAAGCAUGGCCCAGAUCCUUAGAUAAAGGUACCAGCUCAGUCUCUGUCGGAGACGGUUGUGGGCCACGCAGAUGACUGCUGUGGAGCUGCCUGGCUGGUCUACGAGUUUGGGGAGAGAGGGCAGAAGAAGCAUGUGGACAGAAGUUACACAUCACAAGUUGGCCAGUGGCAGGCUGCAGACUAGAAAACAGCUCUCCCAUUUCCAGUGUGAUACUCCCCAGUGCAUGGCUCUGCUUCUCACGGUAUGGUAGUUCAUCAGCAAUUACUUAGAGUGUGUAGGAUAGGGAAAAUUCCUAGACCAAUCUGAUGAAAAUCCUUGAUGAAAGAUAAAUGAAUGCAGACAAGGAGGAACUCCUAGUGUGUGGCAUUGGAAAUCAGCAUAACUGAUAUUUGAGCGAAUGCCUAGACUGAUUCCGUCCUGCAGCUGGUAAAUGCAUACUGUUUGUUAUGCCUCUCUCACCUCUGGUAAGAAAACCCUGUCACUGCUAGUGACUGC
rnacentral:lncRNA from 1 species